CUCUCUCAGAGGCUGUGCGGGGAGCUGCUCCUCUGCUCGCGCUCUGCCAGGCGCCCCUCGCGCCGAGAGAGCUGCGGCAGACACACGCAUGCUCUCUCUCUCUCUCCGUAAGGCACACAAGCUUGCACGCUCCUGUGUUCGGACUCUGGCUGUGGGGACUUAACAAAGGCUGGAGCUUCCCUUAAUGCUCCCGGAGAAAGAUGUUUUUCUUAGUCGCUCCAACAGACAGGAAUCUACUUGCAGAGAAGAAAGCCCUCGCUCUCCCCCAGGAGUGGAGUACAAAGGCCGGUCUGCACACAGCAGAUGCAAAAAGCAAGUCCAUCUGCUACCAGCUCCCUCUACCACAUGGACUUGGGGAGAUUGAAGAGAGUGAGGCUUGUCUGGCUGGGUGUGUGUGAACACACAACUGGAAAAGGAGUGAGGGAGCCAGCUGUUUAUGAACGGGGCUUUGGACUACCAAGGUCAAUGAGGACAAACAAUCCCAGCAGCACUUGAGCAGUGGCAGAAGAAAGCGUGCGGCUGGUGGGUGGGUGGGGGGACGGGGUGCCGCGCGCAUGGUGGUCACCGCCAUGCCGGUGGAGCUUUCCGUCUCCAAGCGAUGGCAUAAUUUCCAUAGCAACCCCCUCUAACGAUUCAUUUUCAAUUAAAGCAGACACAAAAACGUGCUGCCCCGAGCCAGCAGACAGUGUCAAGAGCCCAUCUCCAUCUUCCUCACUCCUUCAUGUGGGGGUGAUGUAGCCUCCCUUAGCCCAAUGCCACCAGCCUGUCUUACAGUAACAAUCACACAGCCCUGUUUAAACCAAUAACUCAGAGCACAAAUCAUAUGCACACCAGUGUAGAAACCAAUGGUGUAUUAACAAUCACCAUAGAGUUAAUGGUAUAGCAUACAUUGUGAAACGUGGAUGAAUGGACGAUUCUUGAGCACGGCAAGGCCACGCGACUUAGCUUGUGUGCAGUCAUUGAGAAUUUGAUGCGUUUCAGGCCUUGCAGAAUUGCCACAAGCAUUAAAGCUGUUCUCUCUGGUUGAAGAGUUAUCCACUUGAGUUCAUCUCCACCUCCAUUCUCCCUUCCCCCCUUAUGUCCGAGCCAUGCAGUAUGCACACGGUACUUGUAAACACUGCCCUAAUAAACUCACAGCAUGUUGCUGUCUGUCUCCCGUCCAUA